CCCCAGACUCCUACGGGAGGCAGCAGUGGGGAAUAUUGCACAAUGGGGGAAACCCUGAUGCAGCGACGCCGCGUGAGCGAUGAAGUAUUUCGGUAUGUAAAGCUCUAUCAGCAGGGAAGAAGAUGACGGUACCUGACUAAGAAGCCCCGGCUAACUACGUGCCAGCAGCCGCGGUAACACGUAGGGGGCAAGCGUUAUCCGGAUUUACUGGGUGUAAAGGGAGCGUAGACGGCGAUGCAAGCCAGAUGUGAAAGCCCGGGGCUCAACCCCGGGACUGCAUUUGGAACUGUGUGGCUGGAGUGUCGGAGAGGCAGGCGGAAUUCCUAGUGUAGCGGUGAAAUGCGUAGAUAUUAGGAGGAACACCAGUGGCGAAGGCGGCCUGCUGGACGAUGACUGACGUUGAGGCUCGAAAGCGUGGGGAGCAAACAGGAUUAGAUACCCCGGUAUC
rnacentral:rRNA from 1 species